AGAGUUUGAUCCUGGCUCAGGAUGAACGCUGGCGGCGUGCUUAACACAUGCAAGUCGAACGAAGCACCUGACUACGAUUUCUUCGGAAGCGGACUGAUCUGACUGAGUGGCGGACGGGUGAGUAACGCGUGGGUAACCUGCCCUGUACAGGGGGAUAACAGUUAGAAAUGACUGCUAACACCGCAUAAGCGCACAGGAAGGCAUCUUUCGGUGUGAAAAUAUUUAUAGGUACAGGAUGGGCCCGCGUCUGAUUAGCCAGUUGGCAGGGUAACGGCCUACCAAAGCAACGAUCAGUAGCCGGCUUGAGAGAGUGAACGGCCACAUUGGGACUGAGACACGGCCCAAACUCCUACGGGAGGCAGCAGUGGGGAAUAUUGCACAAUGGGGGAAACCCUGAUGCAGCGACGCCGCGUGAGUGAAGAAGGUUUUCGGAUUGUAAACCUCUGUCCUGGGGGACGAAGGAAGUGACGGUACCCCGGGAGGAAGCCCCGGCUAACUACGUGCCAGCAGCCGCGGUAAUACGUAGGGGGCGAGCGUUGUCCGGAAUUAUUGGGCGUAAAGGGCGCGUAGACGGCUGAGUAAGUUACUGGUGAAAGCCCAGCUUUUAAGGCUGGAAUUGCCGGUAAUACUGUUCAGCUUGAGUGCAGGAGAGGGAAGCGGAAUUCCUAGUGUAGCGGUGAAAUGCGUAGAUAUUAGGAGGAACACCAGUGGCGAAGGCGGCUUUCUGGACUGUAACUGACGUUGAGGCGCGAAAGCGUGGGGAGCAAACAGGAUUAGAUACCCUGGUAGUCCACGCCGUAAACGAUGGAUGCUAGGUGUGGGAGGUAUCGACCCCCUUCGUGCCGCAGUUAACGCAAUAA
rnacentral:rRNA from 1 species